GAUGAACGCUGGCGGCGUGCUUAACACAUGCAAGUCGAACGAAGCACUUUAUUUGAUUUCCUUCGGGACUGAUUAUUUUGUGACUGAGUGGCGGACGGGUGAGUAACGCGUGGGUAACCUGCCUCUUACAGGGGGAGAACAGUUGGAAACGGCUGCUAAUACCGCAUAAGCGCCCAGCAUCGCAUGAUGCAGUGUGAAAAACUCCGGUGGUAUAAGAUGGACCCGCGUUGGAUUAGCUAGUUGGUGAGGUAACGGCCCACCAAGGCGACGAGCCAUAGCCGACGUGUGAGGGUGACCGGCCACAUUGGGGCUGAGACGCGGCCCAAAAUCCUCCGGGAGGCAGCAGUGGGGAAUGUUGCACAAUGGGCGAAAGCCUGAUGCAGCGACGCCGCGUGAACGAAGAAAUAUGUCGGUAUGUAAAGCUCUAUCAGCAGGGAAGAUAAUGACGGUACCUGACUAAGAAGCACCGGCUAAAUACGUG
rnacentral:rRNA from 1 species